rnacentral:pre_miRNA from 1 species
AAGUUGUAUGUAAGAAUUGGAGGAAAUUAAACCCAACACUAACCAGCUUUAUUGGGUUUAAUUUUCUCCAAUAUCUUACCUACGGUAU